UACGUAGGGCGCAAGCGUUGUCCGGAAUUAUUGGGCGUAAAGAGCUCGUAGGCGGUUUGUCACGUCGGCUGUGAAAACCCGAGGCUCAACCUCGGGCCUGCAGUCGAUACGGGCAGACUAGAGUGCUGUAGGGGAGACUGGAAUUCCUGGUGUAGCGGUGGAAUGCGCAGAUAUCAGGAGGAACACCAAUAGCGAAGGCAGCUCGCUGGGACGUUACUGACACUGAGGCGCGAAAGCGUGGGGAGCGAACAGG
rnacentral:rRNA from 1 species